ensembl:lncRNA
GUUUUCCUUGGGAAAGACUCCGGUCACAACUGACAUGGCAGUUGGCACUUCUAAAGCUCUGGCCAAAGUAGAUCUCAGCAAUGAGGAGCUGAUACACAGGAUUCAUGUUUUUAAUUAGAAAUUUAUUACAUAAUAUAACAAACAUAUAUCUCUGUGGUGGAGCUAUCACAGCUGUGGACCUGCCUCAGCCUCACUACCCUGCCGCCCUUCCCUAUCUGUUUCCUUAUGGAUGAUAAGAGAACCAUGCCUCUGGGUGAAAAGGGUUCAACUGAUCUUGUAAAUCGUGGGACUGACCAUAAAGUGUGUUUUUGUUUCCAUUAUUGUUAUUUUCCAGAAAUCUACUCAAUGGCCAGUGGCCACUGUAUUCUGUCUUAUUUUCCAGUCUGUCUGCCGCUUCUGCCCUGACCUCUUUCAGUACGGUGUGUUUGGGAGUAGACAUGGUUGCUCCCCAUCUUCACCUUCAGAUGCUAGUUAGAGGCAGGUAGCCUAUAUCUCCCUCUCUGCAGACUAAUGAGGGUAUUUUAUUUCAACAGCAAAAAAACAUUUACACUUGAGUAUUCUCUUCCUGUAUCUGAGAUGACACAGAACUGUAUCUUAAAAUCCUGGCCUCACCAAUAGUCACAGUAACACUGUCUAGCAGAAAUCUGUACAUCUAUAGCACCAAAGUCAACGCUACUAUUUUAUUCUAGUUAGCUAGCAAUCUGACCUUUCACAUUUUCACCUACCACAUUUGAGACAUAUGCUGUCAGGAUUAAUCCAACAAUGCUAAACUACUGAAUAAUAUGAAUCUACUGAGGUUGUCAUUAAUCCAGUGUUCAUCAUUAGUUUCAGCCAGGCUACAGUUCUGUGUGGAGUUCAGUGUCUUUGAGGAAGAUAGAGAGCCGGGAUGCCUGGGGGGUCAAGAGGAGGGGAGGUUUAGAUGGGCCAGGCAAGGCCCAGACAUAGCCUGUGAUAGAUCCACCAUGUUAAACUUCACAGUGCAAACAAGGAGAAAAUCAACAAUGAAAGAAAAACCCUUUGAAUGAUGAUAAGAUCACUAGAUCCAGUGGUGGGUCUACCAGAUACCCUCUCACCGUGUAGAUUUGUGCUUUGUUGAUUAGAAAAGAAGAUGAAGUCGACCGUACAGAGAAACUCAUUGGUGUGAAUGAAGUGUCUGCCUCACCUUUCUGUGUCCCGCAGCAUGGGUUUGCAUCUGUAUAGGCUACCUGUGGUAAACCUACUAAGGGGUCCAACUAGGUUCUCUGUUACUGACGUGUUUUCUAACCAGGAAAGCAACUGGAGUCCAAACUGCACUGUGUGUGUGUGAGCGCAUGUGCAUGCCUGCAUGUGCGUGUGUACAGCAUGUGUGUAUAUAUGAGCUGUGUGUUUAAACCCAUGUCAGCAUCUCUCAGCAUCAGUUAGACAAGCUAUACAACCUUCAUCACAUUUAAACCAAGCAAUACUUUGAUACCUUGUCUCAAAAUAUAUAUAGAAAUGGUAAUAAUGCAAAUAAUAAUUUGUUAAUUCAUAAAAUCUGGUCAUUUUUCAGGAUAUAUAUAUAUAUAUAUAUAUAUAUAUAUAUAUAUAUAUAUAUAUAUAUAUAUAUAUAUAUAUAUAUAUAUAUAUAUUCCUUUACAAAACAUAAAAAAACGCCUGGAGUUCCACUCCAAAAAGGUUGUGCACACACAGUGGAGAAGCUAAAUGAAUGUCUGUAGUUCUCAAGAUUCCCAGGAGAUGGCACCAUAUUACUGAGUAACAGCUCAACAACUUCCAAACUAAAGUAGUCCUAUUAAGAAAAAUACACCAUUGAAAGUUUUUUGUUAUUUUUUGGCACGUUUUUCCCUCUUUGUUUCUUUUUUUUUGUCAGUCCUCUUCAAAAUCACCUCAUCAUAGCAUACCCUAAAAAACUCAAAGUCUGAAAAGGGAAAAGGGAGCAAAGAGUGUGUAACAGGAUGAAACGCAGAGCAGAGAGUGUGUCUCAGGAUGAAACAUGGAGCAGAGAGUGUGUAACAGGAUGAAACGCGGAGCAGAGAGUGUGUAACAGGUUGAAACACAGAGCAGAGAGUGUGUAACAGGAUGAAACACGGAGCAGAGUGUGUAACAGGUUGAAACACGGAGCAGAGAGUGUGUAACAGGAUGAAACGUGGAGCAGAGAGUGUGUAACAGGUUGAAACACGGAGCAGAGAGUGCCAGUGCACCUCGUCAUGAGGAGAGUCAUAGGGAGGUGUUGUAGGGCAGAUGGUAACACUGUAAUUGUCUGUGUCUAUGUCUCCAAUUGAACCACAGCCCAAACCACACACAAUGCCCAAGGCAGACAGGGUCUCUGACACACAGACAGGGGCUAUACAGGAACAGACAGAAUGUAAAGAAGAUUAAACUGUAUCGCUUUCAGCACCCCAGUAUUGUUUUGAUCUCUCUCUUUCUCUCUCUCUCUCUCUCUCUCUCUCUCUCUCUCUCUCUCUCUCUCUCUCUCUCUCUCUCUCUCUCUCUCUCUCUCUCUCUCUCUCUCUCUCAUCAAUGAAUAGAUAUCAAAGGGUCCUAUAAUGAUUACAGAUUUGGAGUUCAGUCUGUGUCUCUGUUUGUGCAAAUGUGUGUGUGCACCACGUGUGAGUGUGUUUGUGUGUGUGAGACACAGCCACUGCCAGGAAUCUCUGAUGGUAUUAAGGCUAAAGUGGACUCACUUCGAGGGUUUGAACUAGCGCACACACACAUACAUACACGCACCACACAGAGGAGAGGGGGGAGUGUACAGAGAGUCAGGGUGUUCCUCCCUUCACAGCCUGCAUGCGCUGUAACGAAUGGUGGCUGUAUUGCUAGCACCGUGUUUUGUGCAAAUCAUCUCCUAGUUCAGAGUUCAUAGAAAGAAUACAAUCUGAUCACACAUUUUUUCCUCAGUGAUUAACUAUGCAUAUAUGCCAAACAUUCAUAAAUAGAUCUAUAUAUUUUUUGAUUUUCAAAAAUGUAUAUGAAAACUAUCAUAUAUACAUUGCUUUUGAUUAAUAUAAAAAAGCAAAUAUUUGUAUUUUGUUCAUAUUUACAGGGUGUAUGUCAUUUUGAGAGGUUUAAAUAUUUUAGUUUCUCUUUUUCUUGGUCACUCUGAAAUUCAGAUUAGGUGAGUGAAUAGAAAAAGUUCUUAAUGUCUUAAUCCAAUAGCUACAAAAUCCACCCCUACAUUAUGGGGGGGCAUAACAAAUAAACACAAACCAACAAUCAACUCUUACAAUAUGGAGGGGGGCAUAACAAAUAAACACAAACCAACAAUCAACUCUUACAAUAUGGGAGGGGGGCAUAACAAAUAAACACAAACCAACAAUCAACUCCUACAUUAUGGAGGGGGGGAAUAACAAAUAAACACAAACCAACAAUCAACUCUUACAUUAUGGAGGGGGGGCAUAACAAAUACACACAAACCAACAAUCAACUCUUACAUUAUGGAGGGGGGGGGCAUAACAAAUAAACACAAACCAACCAUCAACUCUUAUAUUAUGGAUGGGGGGGCAUAACAAAUAAACACAAACCAACAAUCAACUCUUACAUUAUGGAGGGGGCAUAACAAAUAAACAUAAACCAACAAUAAACAUAAACCAACAAUCAACUCUUACAUUAUGGAGGGGCAUAACAAAUAAACACAAACCAACAAUCAACUCAAAUUACAAUAUGGAUGGGGGGGGGCGUAACAAAUAAACACAAACCAACUCUUACUUUAUGGAGGUGCAUAACAAAUGAACACAAACCAACUCUUACAUUAGGGAGGGGAGGGGCAUAACAAAUAAACACAAACCAACUCUUACAUUAGGGAGGGGGGCAUAACAAAUAAACACAAACCAACUCUUACAUUAGGGAGGAGGGGGCAUAACAAAUAAACACAAACCAACAAUCAACUCUUACAAUAUGGAGGGGGAAGCAUAACAAAUAAACACAAACCAACUCUUACAUUAGGGAGGGGGGCCUAACAAAUAAACACAAACCAACAAUCAACUCUUACAUUAUGGAGGGGGGGGCAUACCAAAUAAACACAAACCAACUCUUACAUUAUGGAGGGGCAUAACAAAUAAACACAAACCAACAAUCAACUCUUACAUUAUGGAUGGGGGCAUAACAAAUAAACACAAACCAACAAUCAACUCUUACAAUAGGGAGGGGGGGGCAUAACAAAUAAACACAAACCAACAAUCAACUCUUACAUUAUGAGGGGGGGCAUAACAAAUAAACACAAACCAACAAUCAACUCUUACAAUAUGGAGGGGGGCAUAACAAAUAAACACAAACCAACAAUCAACUCUUACAAUAUGGAGGGGGGGAUAACGAAUAAACACAAACCAACAUUCAACUCUUACAUUAUGGAGGGGGGGCAUAACAAAUAAACACAAACCAACAAUCAACUCUUACAAUAUGGAGGGGGCAUAACAAAUAAACACAAACCAACUCUUACAUUAGGGAGGGGGGCAUAACAAAUAAACACAAACCAACUCUUACAUUAUGGAGGGGCAUAACAAAUAAACACAAACCAACAAUCAACUCUUACAAUAUGGAGGGGGCAUAACAAAUAAACACAAACCAACUCUUACAUUAGGGAGGGGGGGGCAUAACAAAUAAACACAAACCAACUCUUACAUUAUGGAGGGGGGCAUAACAAAUAAACACACACCAACUCUUACACUAUGGAGGGGCAUAACAAAUAAACACAAACCAACAAUCAACUCUUACAUUAUGGAUGGGGGGGCAUAACAAAUAAACACAAACCAACAAUCAACUCUUACAAUAUGAGGGGGGAAUAACAAAUAAACACAAACCAACAAUCAACUCUUACAUUAUGGAGGGGGGCAUAACAAAUAAACACCAACCAACAAUCAACUCUUACAAUAUGGAGGGGGCAUAACAAAUAAACACAAACCAACAAUCAACUCUUACAAUAUGGAGGGGGGAAUAACAAAUAAACACAAACCAACAAUCAACUCUUACAUUAUGGAGGGGGGGGAUAACAAAUAAACACAAACCAACAAUCAACUCUUACAAUAUGGAGGGGGGCAUAACAAAUAAACACAAACCAACAAUCAACUCUUACAAUAUGGGGGGGAAUAACAAAUAAACACAAACCAACAAUCAACUCUUACAAUAUGGAGGGGGCAUAACAAAUAAACACAAACCAACAAUCAACUCUUACAAUAUGGGGGGGGAAUAACAAAUAAACACAAACCAACAAUCAACUCUUACAAUAUGGAGGGGGGCAUAACAAAUAAACACAAACCAACAAUCAACUCUUACAAUAUGGAGGAGGGGGCAUAACAAAUAAACACAAACCAACAAUCAACUCUUACGUUAUGGAGGGGGGCAUAUCAAAUAAACACAAACCAACAAUCAACUCUUACAUUAGGGAGGGGGGCAUAACAAAUAAACACAAACCAACAAUCAACUCUUACAUUAGGGAGGGGGGAAAUAACAAAUAAACACAAACCAACAAUCAACCCCACACAAAAGCCUAAAUGAGUCAGACGGUAUUGUAGUGGCCCAAAAUAUAUCCUUUUCCUUAAAUAGUGCCACAAAAUGUAAAAUGGAGGGCACUAUAGGGAUAUGGGUGUCAUUUAGAACACCCCGCAUGUCUCCAGAAUCAGGAGUGAGAUCGUCUGAGAGGUCCAAUGUGAGACAGUGAGCGUUAUCCCUACAACCUUGACACAACUUUGAAUUUACCACCUGCUAAAUGGAUACAAAGGAACGUUUCACAGAGAUAGAUUGCCAAGAAUCUUAACUGAGCAUAAAGGUUUCAGUGCUACUGUUGACUAGUUAAGGUUUUAGUGGUAGUAGAGCCCACCUGGGUCAUGUUCAGGGGAGUCCAAUGUUAAACCUCAAUGUAGAUAGUCAUGUAUUAUAGAGAACAGACAUGCUUCACUGUUGAGAAACCUAUACUACAUAUUCUUUACCUACAAAAGCAAAAAAUCUACUUGUAUAACAGGAAAUCAUGUUUGCUCUUUAUAAGACGUUCAUGACUGUUGUACCAUGUCAGGUCUAUUUGCUGCUAUUGGACCAGGUCUCUCUUGGAAAAGAGAUGUCAUCUCAAGGAGAAAAAAACCUGUAUAAAUAAAGGUCAAAUAAAUCAAAUGAAAUAAACAUGCGGUAUUCAGAAUGUUGCUCCCUCUUAAGAGCACCCUGUUGUUCUCCCGUUGUGUUGUUGUGUGUAUGGAUGACCACUCACUGUCUCUAACCAUUGAGAGAAGCUAUUCACAUUACAAUUGUUGAUUUCUUAAGACAUCUCGUUCUAUAACCCAAACCAUGGUCUCAGAUGUAGAUAAUGAUGCUACCGGUCUUAGGUUGGAUGAGGAUUGUGUCUGUGUCUGUGUGUGAAUCUAAGUGUGUUAUUUGUUUGACCAGGUGAAUGUUCAUGUGUGUACAGUAGAUAUAGAUGUAAGAUCUUCAUUUGGGCCAGUUUGCUACAGCAGGAAAAUAAUCCUGCAGCAACAGGAAAUGUGAAUUAUUAUUAUAUUAUAAUUAAUGGACAUUUUUUGGUAGGGGUUGAUACAAAAUCAAGUCUGACAUUUCAAAGUGUAAAUUACAAACUUCAGAAGCCUACAAGCACUACAAGUGCAGGAAAGUUGCAGGAAAGUUCUUCUGCAACAGGCUGAUAAUUAAGACUCUAUCUGUGUAUAUCUACAUCUGAGUAUGUGUUGAGGUCACUGGGUUUAAACUGGGGUCAACUGUGGUUUCACACCCCUCACUGUGUGGGAUACCCUUCAGCAUGACGGAAGACCGCAAGAAAAGAAGCGGAAACGAAAACACAACCUUCUGUUCAAGACGACGUGAUGCAACUUCUCAUGCUACUGUUCAGGAAAGAGUGACCAUAGAAGGACAGUUCAUCAAUAGCGUGUUGUAUAUUGAAUAUGUAUAGUUUUAGUAAAGUUGUAUAUUUUAUGAAAAAAAAAUCAUUAUAUAUCUAUAUACUUUUUUUCAAAUAUAUAUAUAUAAUUGGUAAAAACAAGUAAAUUGUUGGUGGAAUAAAUUUUAAAGUCUUCUCUCUAUACUCGGUCUAGAAGUAGGAGUCAGAGGCUCUGUAUAUAACGUAUCUUUUUUUCAACGUUCUGUCGUCCCCCCC